rnacentral:rRNA from 2 species
UGGGGAAUUUUGCACAAUGGGCGCAAGCCUGAUGCAGCGACGCCGCGUGAGGGAUGAAGGCCUUCGGGUUGUAAACCUUUUUCGCUCAUGGUCAAGCCGCAGCUUUGGGUUGUGGUGAGGGUAGUGGGUAAAGAAGCGCCGGCUAACUACGUGCCAGCAGCCGCGGUAAUACGUAGGGCGCGAGCGUUGUCCGGAAUUAUUGGGCGUAAAGGGCUUGUAGGCGGUUGGCCGCGUCUGCCGUGAAAUCCUCUGGCUUAACUGGGGGCGUGCGGUGGGUACGGGUUGACUUGAGUGCGGUAGGGGAGACUGGAAUUCCUGGUGUAGCGGUGGAAUGCGCAGAUAUCAGGAGGAACACCGGUGGCGAAGGCGGGUCUCUGGGCCGUUACUGACGCUGAGGAGCGAAAGCGUGGGUAGCAAACAGG